rnacentral:rRNA from 1 species
UACAGAGGGUGCAAGCGUUAAUCGGAAUUACUGGGCGUAAAGGGUGCGUAGGUGGUUUGAUAAGUUAGGUGUGAAAGCCCCGGGCUUAACCUGGGAACGGCGCCUAAUACUGUCGAACUAGAGUACUGUAGAGGAAGGUGGAAUUUCCGGUGUAGCGGUGAAAUGCGUAGAUAUCGGAAGGAACAUCAGUGGCGAAGGCGACUUUCUGGACAGAUACUGACACUGAGGCACGAAAGCAUGGGGAGCAAACAGG